UUGGAAUAUAUGCAGGUAUUGUUUAAUUCUCUUUGUACUUGAACAGUUAUCAUUUUCUGCUAAUUAAAGGUCAAUCAAUAGUAUGAAUUCUACUCAUAGCUGUAGUAAAAUAAAGCCAUCUAACAUCUGGAAAAAAAAAAAAAAACAAGUGCAGACAAUUCAUAAUUCAGCCCCAUAAUUACGGACUGUAUAAUUAAAAUUGUUCAAGAAAUUCUCCAGCAAAAAUCACUCGGCUUUCUAUUAGCUCUUACUGUAUAUUACAUCCAAUUAUUCAUCACAAUAUAUAUUACACGCGUUAAUUAACCUAGCUUACUACUAGAUCUCAUUAGAAACCUUAUCGAUGAAGGAGAAAUGAGAUUUGCCAAGCUAGAUAGCUAAAACAACACACUAUGUAAACCUUACUACCAGGUGAGUUGCUCCAGAGAGAUGGGAGAUUUAACCUGGAGAUCAGUACCAUGCAUAGCUCGUGGGCACACAUACUAAUCACUCCUACCUAGUUAGCUAGCACCUUAAUUGAUCAUUAGAUGAUCCAAUAGGGAAAACUAGCUAGCUAGCUCAAGCACUUGAAUAUGCAUAUUCCCCUGGUGGUGAUCUUGCAUGCACUUUCGGCUCAAGAUCAAAGGUUAUAUGACUUAUAGGAGUCGCUGGGUCUGGAGGUGGAGGUGAACUUGGUAAAGGCCUUUCAAAAUUUGUUAUCAUCGAAAUGUAGCCAUCGUUGCAUGGAGUCCCAUCAGUGCAUGGAGAACCAAUCUUAAGCUCGCCUUCUGGUGAUGCAGGCUUCGGGGGUGGAGGUGAUGGCGUGGUCCGUCCAUUACUGGUGGUUACUUGACCGAUUGGUGGAUCGAUUUUUGGAGAUUGUGGUGGCGGAGACGAACGCUUCUCGUAAUUGCUGGUAAGUUCCUUGGAACUUGGUGAAGGGAUCGGAGAUGGAGGUGGUGAGCUAUAACUCCUUCCAUAAGCUGCUAUUAUUGCUACUUUGAGUCCAAAGCUAUCUGCAGCACAUGAACAAAAGAGAUUUUAAUUAGAAUAUGCAAGCAAAUCAACAUGUUUUUAAUCAAGAAACAACUGGCAUGGUUAGACAAACUUCUAUGAAUUUUAGUGAAACAUGACAACAUAACCAGGCAUAAGUUAGUGAAUUAUAACCAGGUAAAAUUCUUGCUUGAGCGCCAUUAAUGGCUAUAAGUCCAACAAAGGCUAAAAUGGCUGCAAGUAAGAUAGCACUUGUCAUUGGAGUCUUCAUGUUGUUUGGCUUGUAUGACACCAAAGCAUGUUGCAGAUGUGUUAUUUAUAGACCUGGUGGGUUACUGUGUGUUGAGUUACUAGGUCCAUGUCAUCAAUCUUAACUUGUUAUUUGGUAAACGCUGUAGUUUUUAUGAUACAAAUACAAUGAAUUUGAUUCACCUGUAGAAGCUCCAUAGAUGAACACUACAGUGGACGGAGAUGCAUUGUAGAAUCGGUUUGGGAGAUUGGGUCCUGCUAAUAUUACAUGGGAAAGACUCAGCCGUCGGUCAAGAACUCGACUCGGUCCUUUUCGAAUUCAUUUUUGCUCGUUUUAAAACUCCCCAAAGCUAGUGUGUCAUUGUAGAUUUAUACAGUACGCGUUGACUUCCUAAGGAGGACUUCUGUAUUCAAAGUCAUUUCUCCACAAGGGGAGACAAUUUACGACUAAUAAAUAAUAUAAUUAACAAACAUAAUUUAUAGAUUAAAGAAGAUACAAGUGUUACCGUUAAUUCAUAUAUUAAUUUGUAGGAGAAGUUUUGUUAAUUUUGGUAUUAUAAUAAAAUUGACAAAUAAUCAGCUAUUAGCUUAUUAUAGUAUAUUACGUAUUAUAGGCUUGUAUAUAUUUAGGAAAAGUUUAUUAUUCUUGUAUUAUACUCUCUACAUUAACUAUUUAUAAAAUGUUUGUUAACUAAUAGAUUAAACCUCUUAUUAUUCUCAACUUGGUAUCAGAGUUAUUAUAUCUUAAAAACUAUUUUUCCUUUUCUCUAAUAGACUCUUCUUCUCAAUCUAUGGUGUAGACUUCUUCUUCUCCCUUUGUUUUGGAAGCUUCCUCGACUAUUAUGAAUCCUCAGACUUUUUCUUCUCCCUCUGCUUUGGAAUCUUUCCAUGUUGUUGUUGUGUAACCUUCCUCUGCUACUGGUGUCGUGACUCUUGCCACCAUGGAGCUUCAAUUGCAAGCAUUGUUACCCUCUCCAAUUCUCAUCAAGUUAUUUCUUUAAAGCUUACAAACACAAAUUAUCUUUAUUGACAAAUGCAUAAAGUCGUAUCAUAUUGGACAAGGUGUUUUCCUUUUUGUUGAUGGCUCUUUUUCGUGUCCUCCUCCUCGUGUAGUUGUUGUUGAUGAUUCUUCUCUUUAAGUUAAUAAUUUUUUUCUUCGUUGGAAACAACAUGACCAAUUUAUUCUAAGUGCACCACUUUUUUUCUCUUUCAAUGGAUGUACAGCAUCUUGUUGUCAAUUGCCAAACUCAAAAUGUGUUUGGCGUACUCCAAACUCAAAAUGUGUUUGGCGUACUCUUGAGCAAACCCUCGCUUCUUCGUCAAAUUCUUGCAUUAUGAAACUUCAUAGUACUUUUCAAUAUCUUUAUCAAGGUGAUGAUUCGGUCACUAUAUUUAUGUAAAAAGUAAAGGCCAGUUUUGCUAAAGGAUUUCAAUUUUAUGUGUUUCUUGGUCUUCAGAGUGAGUUCAAGGACUUGAUAAUACGGUUCAACCUUGUGAUACGAUCCAAGUAAGGUCAGAUUCGGAUUUUGACAUAAACUUUUCUACCAUCUAGUUUUACGCUAUUGAGCAUAACUCCAAAUCUAACUGUUGGAUCGAGGUGAAACUAUACCAAAGGAUUCUAGAGGUAUUUUUUUAUGUUGGGAUAAAUUUUCAGGUGAAUCAGAGUUCAGAAAGGACUUACAAUUUUGAC
rnacentral:lncRNA from 1 species